UACGUAGGGACCAAGCGUUGUUCGGAUUUACUGGGCGUAAAGGGCGCGUAGGCGGCAAUUCAAGUCAUCUGUGAAAUCCCCGGGCUUAACCUGGGAAUGGCAUUGGUGACUGCACGGCUAGAGUGUGUCAGAGGGGGGUAGAAUUCCACGUGUAGCAGUGAAAUGCGUAGAGAUGUGGAGGAAUACCGAUGGCGAAGGCAGCCCCCUGGGAGUAACACUGACGCUCAUGCACGAAAGCGUGGGGAGCAA
rnacentral:rRNA from 1 species